AUGGGCUUAGCCCCAGGCCUUGAAUGGAACAAUUCAGAUGCUGUCCAACCCUCCCAGGUGAUGGGAAUUUCAAAAGGAGAUUAACUCCUCAGUAUUAAAAUACCUUGCCCUGUUCCCAUUAUUCCCAUCUAGAAAAAGCAUGCUAGAAAGUAACAACAAAACUUUGACUUUAAUAGUUAUAAAUUAUGAAAAUUAUCAGUUAGUUGAACUCAGAUAACUCCUCACUCCUUUUCAUUCCUAGAGGAUAGACAGUGAAGUGCAACUACAGCCCGCAAAUGAAAAUGAAUAAAAUUAAUCCAGCCCCUCAAGGCAGUCAUCUGUCUUAGAGCUAUUGGAAUCCUGGAUCAUUGUGGGAAAUGAAAAAUACUUCGAUGGAAUCAGCAGCCAUUGAUCCAAUGCCAACUCCAAGACUGGAACGUCGCAAUGAUAGUUCCAAGGCGGAAAUUUGACGUAAUUCUUUUCGACACAGUUUUACAGGUCUGGAUGCCCAUUUUAAUUCUUCUGAAAGCAUGCCUCCUUCUGGCUUCAGGACUCCAUCUCCAGCCUUAUGAUCUAAAAAUAAUCCCCAAACCAAAAAAUUAGAUAUUAUUUCCUCAAAAUUAGGUGUUUUAAUCAAAACAUCUUAACAUAAAUACAUUAUUAUCACCCAAUAUGCAUAAUGUUGUUCAACUUUUUUGUUAAAUGACUUAUUUUAGAUGAACAGAUGUGUGAAUAUGAAUAUUUUUAUUUCACUUACAGGCAUCUUGCAUGUGAAUAACUCACAACUUUAAUUCAUGGAACAAAUUGAGAAAUAGUCUUUUGGGGGUUUGGUACUCCCUGGAAACAUAAGAGUGCUUUGGGCACCUCUGGUGCCUUUCCAUGCCUGCCUUCUCUGCUGUUCUUGCUACUAGUGAAUUCUAAAUCAUGGCCAAGUGAUGCCAGCACUGGAUAAUAUUGGCUCUGCCCCAUAUCUCGAGGGAAAACUCUGGGACUUGGCAUUAUAUGUGUGGGAAUCUGGCCUUGGUUGGCACUCCCAGCAUGAUAGCAGGGUUCUGCUGUCUGAAUGUACUCUGGGGUGUGCGCCACAAUUUCUGUCAUCGAAAUGGAGAUGAGAGAAUAUGCCCUUGGUGGGGACACCCCACUGGAAUUAGAGUGAAGAGAUCAAAGCUAGAGGUUCUUAAAUCAAAGAAUGUCUAAUAGCAAAGACAAAAACUUGCUUAAGAGAAAUGCAUACAGGUACUAGACCUAAUAUGAUGAAAAAUGCUAACUUCAACAUAUUGAUGCAUGCUUAGUAUACUUUUAGUCCUGCAAAGACAAAAGUUUUUUGUUUGUUUUUUUUUGAGACGGAGUCUCGCUCUGUCGCCCAGGUUGGAGUGCAGUGGUGUGAUCUCGGCUUACUGCAAGCUCUGCCUCCUGGGUUCACACCAUUCUCCUGCCUCAGCCUCCGGAGUAGCUGGGACUACAGGCGCCCGCCACCACGCCCGGCUAAUUUUUUGUAUUUUUAGUAGAGAUGGGGUUUCACCGUGUUAGCCAGGAUGGUCUCGAUCUCCUGACCUCAGGUGAUCCGCCUGCCUUGGCCUCCCAAAGUGCUGGGAUUACAGGCAUGAGCCACCGCACCUGGCCCAGUCCUGCCAAGACAAAGUUUUAAAACACAGGUUGCACAUUGGCAGCUCUCAAGCCAAAUCUGGCCCAUAGACAUGGUUUGCUUGGCCUAUAAUGUUAGUAAUACUUGACCCAAGAUUUAAAAUUUGAAAAGUUUCAUAUAAAAAUAUAGAUUUACAGCUUUUCUAGAAAAACUAUAAGAGUUAACAGUUUCUGAAUUGCAACAGCAGCUGGAACACCGUUGCCACUGACCAUUUAGAUGACUGCUGCAGUCCCCACGGCUCACUCUGGUUCAGGUAGGGGUUCUAGUUUGUAACCCCUGGUUUAAAACAUAACUGACUCUCUAGUUUUUAAAAUUCUCUCAAAAUCAAAUAACCUGAACUAGCAAAUGAUCUAGAUCCUCGUACAUGGAACUCAUACUAAGUUGACCACAGACAGUGGCUCCCAAACUCUGCAGUACAUCAGAGUCACUGGGAAGCUUUAAAAAAUCCUGCUCCCUAGCUGGGUGCAGUGGUUUAUGCCUGUAGCCCCAGCUACUUGAGAGGCUGAGGUGGGAGGAUUGCUCAAGCCCAGGAGUUUGAGGCUGCAGUGAGCCAUGAAUGUACCACUACACUCCAGCCUGGGCAACAGAGCAAGACCCCAACUCUAAAAAAAAAUCCUGCUCCCCAGGUGACAGUAUCUGGGGGAAGGAGUAAGGCAUCUUAUUUUCAAAAGAUCAUAAGAAAAGAGGCUCAUUGCUGAGGCUCACUCCGGAGCCCACUUGGAUUCUUCACAAGAAAGUUUCCCUCUUCCAGAAUUUUAUAAUUGAGGGAACCGACUAGGGAAAGAUUAAUUUGCCCAAGGUCAAACAACUAGUAAAAGAAGUAAGGAUUCCAACCCAGAUCUUUUGACUCUAUUAUCCUUACAUAUAGUUUUAUAGUGAUUUAAAUUGAUACAAGGAUAGGUUUAAAUACAAGUAGAAUGCAGGUUCAUAUAAAACUGAUUUUAUCCUCAUGUUAGAAAACAUAUACACUGUAACAGAGGGAUGACCAUCAAGUGACCAAGAUAUUUUAGUCAAAAGAUGAAUUUUUCUGCAAUUGGAGAAUGCCAAAAAUAUUCAAAGAAAAUAUAAGUCUUGUAGGCAGUCUUCUAUCAAAACCCACUGAACCGCUGGGCACGGUGGCUCAUGCCUGUAAUUCCAGCACUUUGGGAGGCCAAGGCUGGUGGAUCACCUGAGGUCAGGAGUUUGAGACCAGCCUGGCCGACAUGGUCUCUACUAAAAAUACAAAAAAUUAGCUGGGCCUGGUGGCGGCACCUGUAAUCCCAGCUACUGAGGAGGCUGAGGCAGGAGAAUUGUUUGAACCUUGGAGGUAGAGGCUGCAGUGAGCUGAGAUAGCACCACUGCACUCCAGCCUGGGUAACAAGAGUGAAACUCCAUUCAAAAACAAAAAACAAACAAAAAAAAAACAAUGCACCAAAUACUAAGUUAUUAACUAGGAUACUGAUUAUUAAGCAUGUAAAACAUUUUAUGGAACUCAGAGUUUGAUGUAAAUUGCUAUAUUUUAUAAUUCAAACAAACCUUGUUUCAUGUCAUUAUAUUAGAGUAGCAUUAUGAGACAGGAUAUAGUGUAAGCUAUAUCCCCAAUAUAAUUGCAACUGUAUAUUUUAAAGCAUGGGGAAAAUAUGAAAAGAAUUAUGCUCAAAUGUGGGUAGGAUUAUAACUGAUUUGUUUUCUUCAUUUUCAGAUUUUUCUAUAAUGACUAUACAUUAUUUUUAUAGUCAAAAAUAGAAGUAUUUUAAAUGUUUCUAGGUAGAAUAGCAAAUUAGCUGAAAUAGUAUCUCCAACGUUAUUAUCAAGACUAGACUCCUUGGGUAAAUUGGUCAGAACAGUGUUGUUCUCAUUUUACACCUCUCCAAGAUUAACUAUGUUUUAGAUUUGUGUGUGUGUUUGGUUAAAGAGCCAGGAUGAAGAUCCAGAGUUCUUAAACCUGUAUACCACCAUACUACAUUGUCAUUUUAAAGAAAUGUCUAGUAGACUCGGUGGCAUAAACAUGGGCCAUUUACAAACUAGAUGUCUAAUAUCAGAUACCUCAAAUUUGACAGUAGACUUUUUUUCAAAGCUAAAGUGGUCUUAUGUUGACUAUUUUGUUUCUUACUUGAUACUUGUUUACUUUUUAAUUUUUGGCAAGUAAUGUUUCAAGUUAAAGUUUUAGCUAUAUAUAGCAGGCAGUAUUUCAAGUAAAUGAGUUACAUCAGUAAACACCUCUGUAUUACUAAACUGAGAAUCAGAAAAUGUAAUCUCUUUGGCAGGAUUCGUAUGUUUGUAUCACGUCUUUAUCCUCAGGCAACUUUUAUCUUGGAAUACUGAACCAGCAGUCAGAAUAUGAGGGACAUUAGACUGUGUUAUAGUUACUGUUCUGUCCUUAAGUCACUUGCCUUCUCUAAGUGUCAGUUGCCUCAUCUGAAAAUGGAGUUAGCAGACCCCAGCCUAUCCUGAGUUUGAGGGCUAAAGGGAAUUAUUCUUGAAAAUGUCUAUACAUGAUAAAUGUCACAAAUAUAACUUAGCAUUUUUUUUUUGAGACAGAGUUUCGCUCUUGUGGCCCAGGUCGGGGUGCAAUGUCGUGAUCUCAGCUCACUGCAACCUCUGCCUCCCGGGUUCAAGCGAUUCUCCUGCCUCAGCCUCCUGAGUAGCUGGGAUUACAGGCAUGCACCACCACACCUGGCUAAUUUUGUAUUUUUUAAUAGAGACGGGGUUUCACCAUGUUGGUCAGGUUGGUCUCGAACUCCUACCCUCCGGUGAUCCACCCGCCUUGGCCUCCCAAAGUGCUGGGAUUACAGGCAUGAGCCACCGCACCUAGCCAAUUCUACUUCUAUUACAUUUUCAGCAUAUAUCACUUCAUUGCUCCUCCAUAUUAUUUUUCACUGGUCUUCUUACAUCUUGUGUGCCCAUAUUUAAGUAGUUUUCUUUCCAGGUAAAAAAUACAUGUGUGCCUAAAAGAUUUUAAAGUCAACUUUUCAUAAACCAUACCUAAAUUAUCAAAGUUAUUAGAAUUAUUAGAAAGUAUUAGCUAAUUCUUUUAUAAAAUGUAGACUUUAUUAUUUUAGAAAUAUUGAUUCCUCUCUAUUCAGCUAUCUUAAAGAGGGUAUAUUUUAAUCAUCGCAAUAUAUUACCUUCAUAGUAUUUUUUACUUUUGCAAAGUAUAUUUUGUCAUGUUAUUUCAUUUAGGAAUGCACUAAAUCUACAUAUCUACAUAUGAUUAUACAAGGAAACAUCUUUGUCUCAAAAAUGGGUUCUAUUACAUUUUUUAAUUUCCAGGGGUCAUGAUAUAUAAAAAGACCUGAUUUAUCUUAAAAAUACAUACUUUUAUUCUUACCUACCAUACAUCUUUUUUUGUGAUAAUCAGAAGGCUUAAUUUACUAUAAAAUAGGAAAACAACAGCUAUGUUAGAUUAUAUAGUUAAUUUAGGGAUUAAAUGAGUUAAGGUCUACAAGCCCCUGGCACAUGGCAGACAAUCAAUAAUUGAUCAUUUCCUUUGCAUCUAUAAAUUUGUUCAUUCACUUCUCAUGUGGUUCUACCUUAGACAACGAUUUUUGUUUACAGAGACAAAUAGAAGUAUCUAAUCCUAAAUAACCCAAUCAAUUGGUAAAGGCUACACUACAAAGCUGGCAUGACUUCACCAAAUGCUAGAGAAACAGUGUUAAGAGUGACAACACUAAAAGUCUUACACUCUGAUGAUGCUAGUUGCCGCCGAAUUGCUUCCCCUACCAGUUCCUUAAGUUUCUUCUUAUGAUCCCGGCUGGUUUUCUUAUAGAAAUAAAGAUCUUUUUCCAACUGCUGGAUUUUAUCUUCAUAUGUUUUGAAAGUUUCCAUAAUGCCUUCUCCAUCUUGUUCUAUACAACAAAAAUUUGCAUUUAAAAUCAGUUUUAAAUAAAUGAUGCAAAAUUAUGUUUUUGUUUGUUUCUUUGUCUUUUUGAAACGGAGUCUUGCACUGUCGCCCAGGCUAGAGUGCAGUGGCGUGAUAUGCUCGGCUCACUGUAAGCUCCGCCACCCAGGUUCACACCAUUCUCCUGCCUCCGCCUCCCAAGUAGCUGGGACUACAGGUGCCCAGCACCACGCCCGGCUAAUUUUUUUGUAUUUUUAGUAGAGACGAGGUUUCAUCAUGUUAGCCAGGAUGGUCUCGAUCUCCUGACCUCGUGAACUGCC
rnacentral:lncRNA from 10 species